rnacentral:lncRNA from 1 species
UCAGAAAGAGAAUCUGGGGGUAGGCUGAGCCUUAGGGUAGCCUUGGGCAACAUUUCUGAGAGGACAGCAAUCCUUGAGCCCCUACUCCCUCUUUUUUUAAACCUCAUCUAGCUAUUACAACAGCUCACAGUCAGGUGUGUGAUGGACGGCAAAUGCAUAGGGAAAAAGGAGCGAUAUGAAGUUGUGAUCUUUAAUCAACUCUUAGGAAAAGUUAGGAAACUUGGCAAUUGUGUCAUUUUUGAACGUUACAAGGCUCAAAUUUCCAUCCGUGUUGUAUCUUCAAGCUUCUGCCUGUUGUACAAUUUCAUGGGAAAUAAAAGGAGUGAAUGUCUGCUGUGCCUUGGGCAGAAUACAAACAGAAAAGGAGUGGGCGCUCAAUACAGUAAACCUGCACUGAGAAACCGUGGUUCUGGAAGGACACAACUUUCUACACUUUUGCUAGAUUUUCAUGGUAGCAAUGACAAAACAGGACUAGGGGAGAGGGGAAAAACCAGGGUAGGUAAGCCCUUAAAAUUCUGGACAGUGACACUCUGUACUUAGGGACCUGCAAAGCACCUGGAAGGGCUGAGACUGGGAGGCACACAUACAGCAAACGUCUUUCGAUACCUGCUUUUUUCUCAUUAACCAAGCGGAUUUAUGAAUAAGCUCUGCAAACUUUAAAACGCAUGCAGUAUUCAAGAUGCAAUGCCCCUUCCAUGCCACUCACUGUCUCUUCUGGAGUGAAAUGCAACUAUAAUGGUGCUCCCUGAACCCACUUGCAAUAUGCAAGCUCUCUAGAGAAGGUAGUCCCUGAUCAUCCUGUUGAAAAUCUAGACCUCGUGUAAGCAAGAAAAAGAAGUCAAGGUACAGAGUGGCAUAAAUAUUGUUACUUGAAGUGCUAAUUAUCUACCAGUGUAUUCAAAACCUAGUGAUUUCCAAACCUGCUGGAGCUUCUUAUGGAAAUAAAUAUGUGCAUCCCAAUGUAGGGUUAAAAGGAUUCCCAGAAACCUACACCAAAAAUAUAAGUAAUUAUCCUCUGAGCAGGGAUUUCUCUCCAAUUUCACUGCUUCCCACAAGGGGAACAAUUUCUUGAGAACAUAAUAGUAAAGGAAACAAUACACCACCAAAGAGGAAAAUAACAUCUUUAUAAUUACAGAUUAGUUCCCAAAUUGCACACCUACAUACUCACUCUGCUUUGAAUUUGAGUAACUUCGAUGAAGCUUGUCUAUCCCCUUCAGCUAUCAACAUUUACAGCUCAACAGCUCAAUCACAAGAUUUUCCAUACAGAAACCCCAGGCUGCAAAAGCACUCUCAAAUGACCCACUCGUUUCACUCUUGAAGAAUGUGGAAAACACAGCGACAGAGAGCACAAAUCGGGGUUAAUACCCCGGCAGGAGAGAGGGAGCUCUGGUAUCUCUAAAACAGUUUCAGUGUGCCAGUUUUAGAGAUUACCCAAUCAUUUCUAAGCCGUUCAGAUUUUUAUCAGACAGGAAUUAGCAGCUGAAAGUCUUGCUUGGCCCAAGCUGUUACAUCUCUUUAUCAGGAAUUCAUCUAAGUUUGCAUUGCUUGAGCAAGGCACUCACAUUCAUUUCAACUCAUUGGUUACUUACCCAUUAAAUGGGUUUCUUAACCAUCACACUGGUUAUUUAAUUCCUACCCCAUGGCUCCCCCAAGAAAUAAAAAGUGCACUAUAAUUAUAUAAACUCUUAAUUAAACUGAAGAAUUCAGUGUUGCCAUUACCAGUCAGUAAUUCCACUCAAUUAGGACAAUAGACUUCCAUUUAUUACUGAACUCCUAAUUGCUACUCAUUUUCCUGGUUAGUAAUUGCCAAUCCUAUCAGACAAUGUGCUUAAAGAAAAUUCUGCCAUGAAAUUAUAUUUCUCUCCAUCACGGGAAAGGUGGAAUCAGAGUCCUUACGUGGUCAGGAGUUGGGUCCUCUUCUCUAGCUCCAUGCGUCUCCAGGCUCGGGGGUUUUAAAGGCUGGUGUGCCCCAGGGUUGGCUGCUGGUGCUGCGAUCCGCGGGAGACUUGCCCACAAAGGAAAGGCGUAUCCAGGUAGCCAGAGAAUCCCAAAGCCAAACCUAGCCGAAGAGGAUGCAAAAACAAAACCACCCGAAGCGGUCUCCGCAUUUCCAGAAGACUAAGUUCAAAGUCUCCAGGCAGGGCGCAUUUUAGGUCUUGAGGUGUACGUCCACGUCAGGGGGCAGGUUCGGCAUCUGCUGCUUCUCAGCCUCAGGAGACUCAAGACGGAAGUCCGAGGGUGGCAGCCGUGCGGUACCACGGCUGGAGCCAGCCGGCCUCUGCCUCUGCCUCCCCGGGUCUGGCUUCCGAGGUGGGUUCGCGGGCACUGGCAGGUGCCGGGGAAACUUGCCGGCACGCCGUCCGCCGCCUCUGGACGCCCGGGCAGCCCCGCACUGGAGCUGGAACGAGUCCUGGCAGCCGGCUCCGCGGGAGCUCCCGGGCGGCGAUCAGACGCGAGCGAUCUACCCGCGGCUCGCGGAUGCCUCGGCCCAGGAGCUGCGCGCCGCCCGCCCCAGCCCCGCCCCGGCCCGCGGAGCGCCCCGGCCCGCCUCGCUCCUCAUGACCGUCUCCUAAUUAGCUCAGAAGACUGCAACUCGCCGGCUAGCAAAGACACCCACGGUGGGGAAACUUGACAAUUUAUUCCCGGGCCCGGGGGAGGUCACCUGCAGUGCACCAGCGGAUUGGCUGCUGCGCGGGUUGCGGCGGCAAAGCGCGCAGGCAAAGCGCGCAGGCAGAGCGCGCGCAGCUUCUGAUCCGCUCUGCCAUCCCGGCAAGGCACGGGGCGGGGAGGGCCGCCCCGAAGCAGCCCGCGGCUCAGUACCGUGUGAAAGGGACGGUGUCGGUGCCGGAACCACAAAACUGCCCCACCUCUCCAGAUUGGGUGGUUUGGAAGAGAUGCUCUUUGCUGUUUGGGUUUUUAGACGUCACACUCUGUCUUCCAGUUGACAAUGGGCUCAAGCCAUUUACAGCCGGAAGAUGCUCUGAAUGAAGUAUCUACUCCAACUUCAUGUUACAGAGGAGGGAACUGAAGCAGAAAGGAUGAAGGAGCUGUGAAGCCACCACACCUCAACGCUCUGCCCAAGGAGGUGCAUGGAAGAGGAAUUCCUGGAGGGGCUGCCUAGAAACCAGUGGCUGAG